AAGAUGGCGGAACAGCUUGGAAGGUUUUUGUCUCGCGUCCCUGAAAUACAACCAGACCAACGCUAAACCGUCCUGCACACCUAGAAAACGGAUCUGAGGAUCCACACAACAAUCUGUGCCACCUGAACCACCGAACUCAGCAGGCACUCAGGAUCUUCUAUUAACAUGCCAUCAUCCCUGGGAGAGAUACACGUGCAUAAUACGAUCAUUAUUGUUGAGCAAACACUUCACAUAAGGCAAGUUGUUCAAGCAAUUGCCUAAGAAAAAGGAAGAGAUGACCAAUAUUUUGAAGAGUGAGGAAAGCUGAAUUUCCCCAGUGCGAUCAUGACAAAGCAGAUGCUGGGCCCUUCAGGGCAGGGCUCUGCCCUGUGUGGCCACAUUGCUUGUAAUGUUCUUCUGCCGUAGAGCCUCAUCAAGAAGAGACAGUUUUCUCCUGAUAGGAUACGGAUUUGGAUAUCAGGCGAAUUUGGACAAAUGUGGCAGUGCACACCCAGGACCUACCACAGACUGUGGAUCUGUAACCAGGAAGCCAGUCCCACUCUAAGGUUUGGACAUCCUCAGGAGGGAGGUGAGGGGAGUAACACGGUUGUUUUUCCCUGGUGGCGUCCCAUGUAUUGUUCCAGGUAUUAGCUUCUCAAACAGCUCUUCUUAUACCCUUUUCUUCUCUAGGCCAGAGCGAAGGGAAGCACGAAUACACAGUGCAUUUAUUUAGAGCUGUGACCUCAGUGAAUACACACUGGGGAGAAAACCAGGGACAAUGCAAUUCCCACAUGUCAGAAGCCAGACAGGCACACGGCUCAGGUUUUGGAGAAUAGGGCCUUAAAAACCUCAUUGGACCUUAGAUUCAUUUUCUAGUGGAACUGUAGCACUGAGAUCAAAGGCAUGCUGGCUCCUAAGGGGACAGAGAUUAUGCAUCCAGUUUUCAGAACUAAAUAAGAGCAAAGAACCAUUAAAAUGUCUCACUUGUCUAUUAGUGCACUAGUGAGGUGCCUUGAAGACAGUAGGCGUUUUUAAAAGGUUUGUCAGAUGAAAAGCACAAAUCAGCCACCUUGUUUUAAUGAAAGGGUGUAGGGGCCGUUUCCCACAUCCCCAGCAAUGAUGUCUAUAGAACACAGAACUUGGUAUCCUGCUUCAGUUCAAUCUAGCAAUCUUAAUUUCCUGUGGGUUUCUAUACUUUUAUCCACUUUGCUUUUGUUUCUAAUUAUUUUUUCCGUGUUUAUUUAUUUUUGAGAAAAACAGAGAGAGACAGAGCAUGAGCAGGGGAGGGGCAGAGAGAGAGAGAGGGAGACACAGAAUCAAAAGCAGACUCCAGGCUCUGAGCUGUCAGCACAGAGCCCCACGGAGGGCUGGAACUCACAAAU